GUACUUACAUGGCAGGGGAGAUACCAUGAUCAUAAAGGUGGUUUUCCUAGAGUGAGGCUUAUCCUUUGUACUCCAGAUGUGCUGGCCCCUGUGAUUUCCCCAAAUGUGGGGAACUCAACUGCAUAAUUUGUGGUACUGGGGGACUGCAUUUGCCCUCUCCCCCC